rnacentral:rRNA from 1 species
UACGAAGGGGGCUAGCGUUGUUCGGAAUCACUGGGCGUAAAGCGUACGUAGGCGGACGAAUAAGUCAGGGGUGAAAGCCUGGAGCUCAACUCCAGAACUGCCUUUGAUACUGUUCGUCUUGAGUCCGGGAGAGGUGAGUGGAACUGCUAGUGUAGAGGUGAAAUUCGUAGAUAUUAGCAAGAACACCAGUGGCGAAGGCGGCUCACUGGCCCGGUACUGACGCUGAGGUACGAAAGCGUGGGGAGCAAAC